UACGUAGGUGGCAAGCGUUGUCCGGAAUUAUUGGGCGUAAAGCGCGCGCAGGCGGCCUCUUAAGUCUGAUGUGAAAGCCCCCGGCUCAACCGGGGAGGGCCAUUGGAAACUGGGAGGCUUGAGUAUAGGAGAGAAGAGUGGAAGGCCACGUGUAGCGGUGAAAGGCGUAGAGAUGGGGAGGAACACCAGGGGCGAAGGCGACGAUUGGGCCGAUAACUGACGCUGAGGCGCGAAAGCGUGGGGAGCAAACAGG
rnacentral:misc_RNA from 1 species